UACAGAGGUCCCGAGCGUUAGGCGGAAUCACUGGGCUUAAAGCGUGUGUAGGCGGAUUGGUAAGUACCUUGUGAAAUCCCACGGCUUAACCGUGGAACUGCUUGGUAUACUGCUUAUCUUGGGCCACUUAGGGGCUACCGGAACAAACGGUGGAGCGGUGAAAUGCGUAGAUAUAGGAAGGAACACCAGUGGCGAAGGCGACCACCUGGACUGAUACUGACACUGAGGUGCGAAAGCGUGGGGAGCAAACAGG
rnacentral:rRNA from 1 species